CGAGAGCUAGAGAGAGAGAGAGAGAGAGAGAGAGAGAGGGAGAGAGAGCGCGAAAGAGAGAGAGAGACAGAGAGCGAGAGCGAGAGGAAGAGAGAGAGAGAGCGCGGAGGGAGGUAGAGGUUGGCCCGGCAGUCAGUUAGCGGCACCAAGAGAGCGAGUGCAGAUGUGAGAGUUUACACCACACGGCUCUCCCUCUCUCGCCGGUCGUUCAGGCUUCCCUUGGCCAGCACAUCCCAGCCCAGCGCGCGUGGAUUAUCAGUGUGGUAGUGAACUGUACGAGUCUCCCCGUGCCAGAAGAAACGUUAUGCAAACGUGCUCAUUCAUGAACAAAGUGACAUCAAUGGAUUCUGAAAACCCGAGGAAGACUUCGAACUGAAAGAAAUCAAGAAAAGUACGGAAAUUCUGCUUCAUAACUGUGGCGAAUAAGCAAAAGUUUUCACCAUUUCUCUGUUUUGUUUAGAUUUUUGCCAUAUCUGAGUUUUUGAGGAAGAAUGGAAAAGAAAGAAAAACAAUUGUAGCUGAAGAAAACACAAGGGUUGCAAAACUUAAUACGUGACAAGCGUGUGUGUGGGGUGAAGACUUGGGAGUGCCCAGUGUUUGGGUUCACCUCCGUCCUCCCGCCUCACUUGAAGGACUGCACGCCUGCUGAAGGCGUCUCGGGCACGUCAGUCGCAUCAGUGUGACCCCGAGCUGAGCCCCAUCCGAGGCCGCACCCGCCACCCUGAGCCAGGUGAGCACACGUAGCAAAUAAC